GCGGCCUCCCGCAGCCUUUCCCGCAGCCCCCCGAAGAGACGGGCUGGGUAAGACGGGGCAGGACAGACUCCCCCCCCCCCCCCCCCCUCCCUUCCUCCUCCAUCGACCAUCCCCUCCUCCCCCCCCCUCUCCCGCCCCCCUAAAGAUAACAAGGUCCUCUAGGCUUCCCCAGCCCUACCGGGGCCAGCGUCCUUACCUGGUGCUCCUCCAGCUCCUCCACCAGCACCUGGGGACACACAAAGGACGUGAGCCCGGCGCCCGCAGCGCUUCCCCCGCCCGCCGCCCUCCCGUCCCGUCCCGUCCCGUCCCGUCCCGUCCCGUCCCCGCCCGGCUCCCCGCUCACCUGGGCGGAUUUCUUGCAGGGUCCGGACUGCAGGAACCGGGCUAUCAGGACUCCUCUGGCUGCUGAGGAAUCCUGAAGCUCAGCUUCCAGCCCCUGGGAGCUCCCUUCCCACGCUGGGAUCCUGCAGCUUCCCUGACUCAUCUCCUGCUGGAUCCUCUGCAACCUCUGAAACGGUCCUCAAUCUCCCAGCUGGCAGCCAGGUUUGAUCCUUCUGCUUGUUCAUCUUUCUCCAGAGCACAACUCCAUGAUGUCCAUCCCCUGAGUAGUCCAGGAGAACGUUCUCCCUGUCCCUCUCUGAGCAACAAGAGGUUUUUCAGCAGCUGAGAUGCUUCAAGGAAGAGCCACGUUGGAACAGUUUUCUUUGCUGCUUUUGAAAAAAGCUAAAUAAGAUUUAAAGCCUUUCAAGGAUUUUAGGGAUUGAAGCUGCUGUUACAUCACUCCCACCUGUCUGGUGGUGUAGAAACCUCUCAGCACUUCCCAGUGAGACAUUUUUUUCAGGAAUGUGUACAUCUGAGUCCUUUGGGAUUUAAAGACUAGAGCAAAUGAAGCAUUUUCAGCUUGGUUGGGGUCUUUUUUUGAGUGUUUUCCAUGUGCAUCCUGCUCAUCUUGGGCUGUUCACAUGCAGCUAAAUGCUGCACAGGGACUGAAGUUGCUGCAGAGGUUAAAUCCAAAGUUUCCUUUAACUGCUCCAGGAAUGAGAGGGAGGUAGAAGGAACUUGGGAAUUGGUGCUUUUUCCUAAGCAGUUGUAAGCAAAUAUGGAUAUUGAAAAGUCAGGGUUUACUUGAGGGUGAUCUCUAAAUCAGCAACCCCCGAAUUAAUAUUUUUUUUUUGGCAUUUCUUCUGACCAACGAAAUGAGGUGCAAAAUAAUUAGCAAUAAUUACAGGCAGGGCUUUUGCUGGAGUGUGUGCACAGGGGUGGCCUGUCUUGCAGGACAGAUCUCCAGGUCUCCAUCCAGGUUUCCUCCCUUGAUAUGAGCUGUUAAGGAACCAUCGAGUAGCUGUUGGGAAUUACACAAGAUCUGUCCUAGGUUUUUUUUUUUGCUAGUUUUUAAAUACUAUUUCUUUUCCCUGCUGCGUCAUUCCAAUCUUUCCUCUAGAUGGUGCCCGAGACCCGGGAGCUGGAGUCAAGGCUAUCCCAAAGGAAAGGCUAGUGAGGAGUCAGGAUGCUGCUCGCCUUUGUUCCUAAAUUCUAUCUCAAAUUAGUCACCUAAGUUGGUGACUUAGGUCACCUGCGUGGUGUGAAUACGGUGGAUUUUCCUCCUGUGAGUCUUCAAAUCCAGUCGUUGAAGCCUGGAAACGCCACCUGCCCGGAGCAGUGUCAUCCCUUGCUCCAUGGAAUGAUCCACAUCUCCUGUUUCUCCAGGCAGCCAUUACCUGGGGGGAGCUGUUGGGAUGCACAUCCCUGCUGCUGCUUUGCAGAGCCAUUCCACCCCUCAGAAUGCUGGCUCAACCCGGAGCUGUCCCUCUGGUUUCAGACAGAACAGGGAGAUUCCCAGGAAGGGUGAAAGGCAGGUGGGAUGGGCAGCAGUGACCUGUGUCCCCUCAGAGCUCAGCCAGCAGAAGGACCAGGGAGAUCGUUCCAGGAGAUGCAGGCACCAAAUGUCAACGUGACCCCUGGAAGUGCUUGUCACCCUGCAGGCUUGACAAGCAGGAACGUUCCUGUUCCUUGUGAGCAGCAAGGGAGGUUUUGUGCUUGUUGCUGGUACCACUGCAGCCAGUGGCAUCCUUGCCCAAGGGUCCCCAGGAGUCCCUGGGUGGGGUCGAGCCCCCUGUCCCCACCUUUUCCCACCCUGCUCCUGAGAUGGGCACAGGGCUGGGGGUGCACAGAAGGGCUCUCACCCCAGAAGAACCACCUGGUGCUUCCCAGAGGGGCUAGUUCAGCAACUUCACAUCGUGCUGCAGGUUUUUAAAUCAUCUUCUGGUGUUUGAUUUGUGAUUUUUGGGGGGGGGGGUUUAGGGCCCUUCAUUUUUCCCUUCUCCUGGCCAGCUCAGUGUCUGACUGCAACUGGGAAUUCAUCACCUCUCUUCCCCCCCAGCUGGAUGUGCAAACUUUCCUGGAGCUCCCUCAUCUAAAUAUAUAACUUAAAUAAAUUCAAUCCCCAUGUAUCCCAUAUCAUUUCUCUCUUAAAUUGUCAGGGUGUUUGCAUUUUCAUUCUCUUUGUCAAUUUUGCAAGAGCAAUUAGCAAUUUUUGUGAAGAAGCAGGCAGGGUUAACAAGAGUGUUUUGUUUUUUUUAAAAAGUGCUGCUUUAUUGAAAUAAAAAGAAGUUGAAAUAUGAUUUGA